CAGCAAUUGAGAGCAUCACUCUAAAAGGACUCCAGGCGAGACUGAAGUGAACUAUUCUGUUGUGGGUGAAAACAUCCUAGCAAGUGACAGAAGAAAAGAGCAUCAGGAGGAAAUCAGUUCAGGCCUUUCUGAUUAUUGGAGAAAAAUCAGGGAAGCCAUAUAUUGUGACCUCAGCUUGUGUGUGGAAAGGGAAGAUCCAGUAACAAGAAUAGAAAUAACAGGUAAAGUGGAUGACAGGCACAUGAAGGACAAGAAGGUGAUUGAGAACAGACAGCUGGAUUUAUCAAAGGCAAAUUGUGUCUGCCCAACUCAGUUGCCUUCCUGAUGAAACAAAUACCUUGGUGGACAAGGAGAGAGCAGAUGAUGUUUCUUGACUUUGGUAGGACCUUUAGCAAGGCCUCUCACACUAUUCUUAUAGCCAAAUUGGAAAUACUGGGUAAGUGGACAGUAAGGUGGGUGAAAAGUGGCUGGACCAUCAGGAUGAAAGGUCCCACUGGCAGUUUGUGACAAGUGGUGUCUCUCAGA